rnacentral:lncRNA from 10 species
CCGGCGGCGGCACCAACUGCAACAGCGAGGCCUCUUCUGGCUCGGGCGGUUACGCGGCUCCUUCGAGAGAAGGAUUCUUAAUUCUGCCAACAACCACAUGAGUUUGGAAGAAUACCCAGAACUACAGAAGGGAGCACAGCUUGGCUGACACCUUGAUUUCAGCCUGGUGAGAACCUGAGCAGAGAACCCAGCUGAGCCCAUGCCAGGACUUCUGACUUACAGAACUACGAGAUAAUAAAUAUGUUAUUUUAAGUCACUUCAUUUCUGGUAAUUCGUUUUUGCAUCAAAUGCAAAUGUUUUUGCAUGGAAUAAAGUGUGUAUUCAAAUACAGUCAUAUGGAUACCAAAACUUGAUGUAGUUUUAAUAGCAGAAACCAAAUGAUCAAUUAUCCAUAACUUCAAAGAUUAAUUCAACCUCAUGAAAAGAAACAACUAAUCAGAAGUUAAUACCUGCACAGACUAUUUGUUGUUCUCCCACUUUUGCAUAAAUUAGAUAAUUGAGACAAAGAUAUGGGCUUAUUUCUUUUGCUUAAGACUCACAUAUUUAUCUUUUCCUUAGAUGGAAUUAGUGUAACACAAAGAUGUUCCACUAUUUAUAUUCCUUCAAUUCUGUGUGUGUCUAUAUUCUAUAAUUAGUAUUUUCUCAUUUUCAACUGACAGAAAUAGUGCUUAUAGAAAAAAGAAUUAAAUUACAUGUGUCUCCCUAACAUUAAAUGUUUUUUCUCCUAAAUUUAUUUUUUUUUCCUUUUUUUUUUCUUUUUUUUGAGAUGGAGUCUCACUCCAUCACCCAGCCUGGAGUGCAGUGGUGCUAUCUCAGCUCACUGAAACCUCCGCCUCCCAGGUUCAAGCAAUUCUCCUGCCUCAGCCUCC